rnacentral:rRNA from 1 species
GGAUAACCUACCCUUAGGACUGGGAUAACCCUGGGAAACUGGGGAUAAUACUAGAUAGGCAAUUUUUCCUGGAAUGGUUUUUUGUUUAAAUGUUUUUUCGCCUAAGGAUGGGUCUGCGGCCGAUUAGGUAGUUGGUUAGGUAACGGCUUACCAAGCCAUUGAUCGGUACGGGUUGUGAGAGCAAGAGCCCGGAGAUGGAACCUGAGACAAGGUUCCAGGCCCUACGGGGUGCAGCAGGCGCGAAACCUCCGCAAUGUGAGAAAUCGCGACGGGGGGAUCCCAAGUGCCAUUCUUAACGGGAUGGCUUUUCAUUAGUGUAAAGAGCUUUUGGAAUAAGGGCUGGGCAAGACCGGUGCCAGCCGCCGCGGUAACACCGGCAGCUCUAGUGGUAGCAGUUUUUAUUGGGCCUAAAGCGUCCGUAGCCGGUUUAAUAAGUCUCUGGUGAAAUCCUGUAGCUUAACUGUGGGAAUUGCUGGAGAUACUAUUAGACUUGAGACCGGGAGAGGUUAGAGGUACUCCCAGGGUAGAGGUGAAAUUCUGUAAUCCUGGGAGGACCGCCUGUUGCGAAGGCGUCUAACUGGAACGGUUCUGACGGUGAGGGACGAAAGUUAGGGGCGCGAACCGGAUUAGAUACCCGGGUAGUCCUAACUGUAAACGAUGCGGACUUGGUGUUGGGGUGGCUUUGAGCUGCCCCGGUGCCGAAAGGGAAGCUGUUAAGUCCGCCGCCUGGGAAG